UACGGAGGAUGCGAGCGUUAUCCGGAUUUAUUGGGUUUAAAGGGUGCGUAGGCGGACUGUCAAGUCAGCGGUAUAAUUGAGAGGCUCAACCUCUUCCCGCCGUUGAAACUGGUGGUCUUGAGUGGAUGAGAAGUACGCGGAAUGCGUGGUGUAGCGGUGAAAUGCAUAGAUAUCACGCAGAACUCCGAUUGCGAAGGCAGCGUACCGGCAUCCAACUGACGCUGAGGCACGAAAGCGUGGGGAUCAAACAGG
rnacentral:rRNA from 1 species